rnacentral:rRNA from 1 species
UACAGAGGGUGCAAGCGUUAAUCGGAAUUACUGGGCGUAAAGCGUGCGUAGACGGUUAUGUAAGUCAGGUGUGAAAGCCCCGGGCUCAACCUGGGAAUUGCAUUUGAGACUGCAUAGCUAGGGUGCGGAAGAGGGAAGCGGAAUUUCCGGUGUAGCGGUGAAAUGCGUAGAUAUCGGAAGGAACACCAGUGGCGAAACGCGGAGCUUC